AACGAACGCUGGCGGCAUGCCUAACACAUGCAAGUCGAACGAGACCUUCGGGUCUAGUGGCGCACGGGUGCGUAACGCGUGGGAAUCUGCCCUUGGGUUCGGAAUAACAGUUGGAAACGACUGCUAAUACCGGAUGAUGACUUCAGUCCAAAGAUUUAUCGCCCAAGGAUGAGCCCGCGUAGGAUUAGCUAGUUGGUGAGGUAAAGGCUCACCAAGGCGACGAUCCUUAGCUGGUCUGAGAGGAUGAUCAGCCACACUGGGACUGAGACACGGCCCAGACUCCUACGGGAGGCAGCAGUGGGGAAUAUUGGACAAUGGGCGAAAGCCUGAUCCAGCAAUGCCGCGUGAGUGAUGAAGGCCUUAGGGUUGUAAAGCUCUUUUACCCGGGAUGAUAAUGACAGUACCGGGAGAAUAAGCUCCGGCUAACUCCGUG
rnacentral:rRNA from 1 species